AUGCGCGGCGCCGGUGAUUGCGAGCUGGAGCUCCGGGGCGUAAUGGGGGAGGAGGAGGGGGUUGCGUCGGCGUCGGCGUCGGCGUCGGAGAGGGCAAUGCGGCGGCGGAGGGGGCGGCGUCGGUGGGGAAGAGCCGAGGCGGGCGACAGCUACUCGACGAGCAGCGGCAGCGGCUCCUUCGGCUGCGACUCGCCUUUGGCCGGAUUCGUGCGCGCGGAUGGCGACAUGGACACAGAUCUGGAGACAGACGGGCUGGCCGCCACUUCAUCCUCCAGUGCCUCUGCAGCGUUCACGGAGCCGCACGACGACGAGGAGGAGGCGCAGUGUGGGGUGAAGGGAGAGUGGCAAGAACCGGCCAAGAGUCCGGCGGGCGGCGCCACUGCCAUCCGAGAAUGCCAGAGCCAGCGACGGUGCCGGACAGAGGCUGCUUACCUGCACGGUAGGAAGGGGCUGAAGCAGCGGCCAGCCUCGCUCGACUUCGGCAGCGCCGGGUUCAACAGCGGGACUCCGUUUUCUCCGGGCUUUGUGGUUGGAGGUGCCGGGUUUGUAAGCAAGGGACUUGUGUCAUCGCAGAUAAGCUCCGGCGUGUUCCCUAGCCCCGGCACGCCGAGCUACCCGCGGCGGCACCGGCCGUCGGCCUUGGGGUACCAAAAGGGGUGGAGCUCGGAGAGAGUGCCCCUUCCUUCCAAAGGUAAUAAUACUAGGAGGUACCCAGGCAGCAGCAUGGCAUUCCCUCUCAAUAACAGGAGGACAUUGCCCUCAAAAUGGGAGGAUGCGGAGAGGUGGAUCUUCAGUCCCAAGUCAAACUCCGGCGAUGCACGUGAGAAGACCGCCACAUUGCCCCAUGCUCGGCGGCCAAAGGCCAAAAGCGGUCCUCUUGGGCCUCCUGGAAGACUUGGUGGACAGUAUUCAUCUGUAUCUUCAUCCGUGUCUUUGUUUGACAGUGGGAGAGUUGGGCAUUUAGCAGCAAACUCACCUUUCUUGGCUGGAGUACUGAUACCUGAACAUUAUGGUGGGGCGAAAAGUAAUGUUGGGAGGUAUACGAGUGGAACAGCUGGUACCGAAUUCGGUAUUGGCAUAGUUGGCAGGUCUUCUCUAGCAGAUAUCGGGUCUCCUGCUACCCAAUCUACCACGGUGCGCCGACGACUAGAUACUGCAGUCGAGUCAUCUGCGUCAUUGCCUAGCACCCAAGAAUCUGUACAAGAUGAAGAGGCUGAGUUCGUAGAAGAUUCAGCCCCCAUUAUCACCCCUAUAACUUCAAGGAAGGAUACCGCGACUCAAACUAGUCCAGAUCUAAGUAGGUCUUCUUCGCCCAGUGCCAGGCCUUCAUUUGUUCGCUCAUUCUCAAUGCAACAAGCCAAAGAGAGGGAGAGCUGUUUCUCUGAUCUUGAGAUCAGGGAUGUGCAGAUGGAUGAGCGAGUGAGUCUUACCAGAUGGUCCAAGAAACAUGUAACACAAGGCUCUAACAAGAAUUCUACAAAUAUGUUAGAGUGGAAUAAAAAGACGGUGGACUCUAAAUCUUCUUCCUGGGAAUCAUCUGAAACGAAAUGCACAUUAAAGGUUGAGAGAGAAGAAGCAAAACUUACUGCUUGGGAGAAUCUUCAAAAAGCGAAAGCUGAGGCUGCAAUUCAGAAGCUAGUGAUGAAACUCGAGAAGAAACGAUCAUUUUCUCUGGACAGAAUUUUGAACACCCUCAGGUCUGCUCAAAGAAAAGCACAAGGGAUGCGUGAUGCAGCGACAGCAAGCCAAGAUGAACAUCUUUGCAGGAAGGCCAAAAAGACAUCACAUGUUACGAAGAAUGGCCAGAUCAGAUCUCUGAGUGGCUGUUUCACCUGCCAUGCUUUCUAG
rnacentral:rRNA from 1 species